CUUGUACACACCGCCCGUCACACCAUGGGAGUUGGCUUUACCUGAAGACGGUGCGCUAACCAGCAAUAGAGUCCCACCUCGGUGGUUGGGGCCAGGUCUGACGCACUGGAGGAGGGCCACGGGGGCGGGGUAACCUGCGGGUGAACACUUCUUUU
rnacentral:rRNA from 1 species